rnacentral:siRNA from 1 species
UGUAGUUGACUCGUGCGUG